ensembl:snRNA U6 U6 spliceosomal RNA
GUGCUCGCUUCCGCAGCACAUAUACUAAAAUUGGAAUGAUACAGGGAAGGAAGAUUAGCAUGGCCCCUGCACAAAGAUGACACACAAAUUUGUGAAGCAUUCCAUAUUUUU